rnacentral:pre_miRNA from 1 species
GAUUUCAACUAAAAAAAGUCAUCAACAACAAAGUUGUAUAACUCAUCAAGAUCUAUAACUUCUAUUUAAGUCAUUUCUUCAUCUAAUAAAGUGAUUCGCAAUAUUGUUCACACAAUAUACAUCUCUUAUAUAGUUAUAUAAAAACUAUAUAAGAAAUGUACAUUUUGUAAAUAAUCUUUCAAAUCAAUUUGUCAGAUGAAGAAAUGACCAAAAUAGAAGUUAUAGAUCUUGAUGAGUUAUACAACUUUGUUAUUGAUGACCUUUUCAGAUGAAAUU